rnacentral:snRNA from 1 species
AAAAGUACAUGGCAGGGGAGACACCAGGAUCAUGAAAGUAGUUUUCCCAGGGUGAGGUUCAGCGAUUGCAUGCCGGGUGUGCUGACCCCUGCGAUUUCCCAAAUGNGGGAAACUCGACUGCAUAAUUUGUGGUAGUGGAGGACUGCGUUCGCGCUUUCCCCUG